UACGUAGGUGGCAAGCGUUGUCCGGAUUUACUGGGCGUAAAGAGCGCGCAGGCGGUCGUUUAAGUCGAAUGUGAAAGCCCCCGGCUCAACUGGGGAGGGUCAUUCGAUACUGAUCGACUCGAAGGCAGGAGAGAGAAGUGGAAUUCCCGGUGUAGUGGUGGAAUGCGUAGAGCUCCGGAGGAACACCAGUGGCGAAGGCGGCCGCCUGGGCCAGUCCUGACGCUGAGCCGCGAAAGCGUGGGGAGCGAUCCGG
rnacentral:rRNA from 1 species